rnacentral:tRNA from 1 species
GGGGAUUUAGCUCAGUGGUAGAGCUCUUGCCUAGUAUGUGCAAGGCUUUGGAUUCAAUUCCCA